GACGGAGGGUACGAGUGUUAUUCGUUUUGAUUGGGUGUAAAGGGUACGUAGGUGGUUUUAGGCUUCUUUGGUCAAAAGCGUGGAGUAUUCCUAUGCGGUGGCCUUCCAAGUCCAAAACUUGUGUUGGAGAGAGGUUGGUUCAAAUUCUCAAGUAGGGGUAAGAUCCUGCGAUAUGAGAACGAAUGUCAGCUGGCGAAGGCGUCUUUCCCGCUCCAACAGACGCUCAGGUACGGAAGCUUAGGGAGCAAACGGG
rnacentral:rRNA from 1 species